GACGAACGCUGGCGGCGUGCUUAACACAUGCAAGUCGAACGGAAAGGCCCUGCUUUUGUGGGGUGCUCGAGUGGCGAACGGGUGAGUAACACGUGAGUAACCUGCCCUUGACUUUGGGAUAACUUCAGGAAACUGGGGCUAAUACCGGAUAGGAGCUCCUGCUGCAUGGUGGGGGUUGGAAAGUUUCGGCGGUUGGGGAUGGACUCGCGGCUUAUCAGCUUGUUGGUGGGGUAGUGGCUUACCAAGGCUAUGACGGGUAGCCGGCCUGAGAGGGUGACCGGCCACAUUGGGACUGAGAUACGGCCCAGACUCCUACGGGAGGCAGCAGUGGGGAAUAUUGCACAAUGGGCGGAAGCCUGAUGCAGCAACGCCGCGUGCGGGAUGACGGCCUUCGGGUUGUAAACCGCUUUCGCCUGUGACGAAGCGUGAGUGACGGUAAUGGGUAAAGAAGCACCGGCUAACUACGUG
rnacentral:rRNA from 1 species